rnacentral:rRNA from 1 species
AUGUACCAGUUUAAUCGAUUUAUCGAGAAACCGCGAACGGCUCAUUACAAUGGSCAUGAUUUACUUGAUCUUGAUUAAUCCUAGAUGGAUAACUGUGGAAAAUCUAGAGCUAAUACAUGCACUAAAGCUUUGACCUCACGGAAAAGCGCAUUUAUUAGAACAAAACCACGCGGCUUCGGCUGCUCUUUGUUGACUCAGAAUAACUAAGCUGACCGCAUGGCCUUGUGCCGGCGGCGUGUCUUUCAAGCGUCCACUUUAUCAACUUGACGGGAGCAUAAUCGACUCCCGUGGUUGUGACGGAUAACGGAGGAUCAGGGUUCGACUCCGGAGAAGGGGCCUGAGAAAUGGCCACUACGUCUAAGGAUGGCAGCAGGCGCGCAAAUUACCCACUCUCGGCUCGAGGAGGUAGUGACGAGAAAUAACGAGACCGUUCUCAUUGAGGCCGGUCAUCGGAAUGGGUACAAUUUAAACCCUUUAACGAGUAUCAAGGAGAGGGCAAGUCUGGUGCCAGCAGCCGCGGUAAUUCCAGCUUCUCCUAAUGCAUAGAAUUAUUGCUGCGGUUAAAAAGCUCGUAGUUGGAUUCGUAUCGAUACUCUGGAACCCUUCGGGUGUUUCUGGAUGUUAUCGAUUUAUCGUAAUGUUCAGUUUUGAGUCCUUAACAGGAUUCUUAACAGGCAUUGCAAGUUUACUUUGAACAAAUCAGAGUGCUUCAAACAGGCGUAUUCGCUUGAAUGAUCGUGCAUGGAAUAAUAGAAAACGAUUUCGGUUCAGUUUUAUUGGUUUUACGGACUGAGAUAAUGGUUAACAGAGACAAACGGGGGCAUUUGUAUGGCCCCGUGAGAGGUGAAAUUCUUGGACCGUGGCCAGACAAACUACAGCGAAAGCAUUUGCCAAGAAUGUCUUCRUUAAUCAAGAACGAAAGUCAGAGGUUCGARGGCGAUCAGAUACCGCCCUAGUUCUGACCGUAAACGAUGCCAACUAGCGAUCCGCCGAUGGAGAUUAUAUUGCCUUGGUGGGGAGCUUCCCGGAAACGAAAGUCUUCCGGUUCCGGGGGAAGUAUGGUUGCAAAGCUGAAACUUAAAGGAAUUGACGGAAGGGCACCACCAGGAGUGGAGCCUGCGGCUUAAUUUGACUCAACACGGGAAAAUUCACCCGGCCCGGACACUGUGAGGAUUGACAGAUUGAUAGCUUUUUCAUGAUUCAGUGGAUGGUGGUGCAUGGCCGUUCUUAGUUCGUGGAGUGAUUUGUCUGGUUUAUUCCGAUAACGAGCGAGACUCUAACCUACUAAAUAGUUGAUAUUUUUUUUUGAAUAUACAACUUCUUAGAGGGAUUUGCGGUGUUUAGCCGAAAGAAAUUGAGCAAUAACAGGUCUGUGAUGCCCUUAGAUGUCCGGGGCUGCACGCGCGCUACACUGGCAAAAUCAACGUGCUUGUCCUUCCCCGAAAGGGGCGGGUAAACCAUUGAAAAUUUGCCGUGAUUGGGAUCGGAAAUUGCAAUUAUUUUCCGUGAACGAGGAAUUCCAAGUAAGUGCGAGUCAUCAGCUCGCGUUGAUUACGUCCCUGCCCUUUGUACACACCGCCCGUCGCUGCCCGGGACUGAGCCAUUUCGAGAAAUUUGGGGACUGUUGAUUUAACUUUUUUUAAAAAGUUUUUUUGAUGGAAACCAAUUUAAUCGCAGUGGCUUGAACCGGGC